GAGAGCUUGCUCUCGGGUGACGAGUGGCGGACGGGUGAGUAAUGUCUGGGGAUCUGCCCGAUAGAGGGGGAUAACCACUGGAAACGGUGGCUAAUACCGCAUAACGUCGCAAGACCAAAGAGGGGGACCUUCGGGCCUCUCACUAUCGGAUGAACCCAGAUGGGAUUAGCUAGUAGGCGGGGUAAUGGCCCACCUAGGCGACGAUCCCUAGCUGGUCUGAGAGGAUGACCAGCCACACUGGAACUGAGACACGGUCCAGACUCCUACGGGAGGCAGCAGUGGGGAAUAUUGCACAAUGGGCGCAAGCCUGAUGCAGCCAUGCCGCGUGUAUGAAGAAGGCCUUCGGGUUGUAAAGUACUUUCAGCGGGGAGGAAGGCGAUGCGGUUAAUAACCGCGUCGAUUGACGUUACCCGCAGAAGAAGCACCGGCUAACUCCGUGCCAGCAGCCGCGGUAAUACG
rnacentral:rRNA from 1 species